rnacentral:rRNA from 1 species
GACGAAGGGGGCUAGCGUUGUUCGGAAUUACUGGGCGUAAAGCGAGUGUAGGUGGUUGUCCAAGUUGGAUGUGAAAGCCUUGAGCUCAACUCAAGAAAUGCAUUCAGGACUGGGCGGCUAGAGGACCGGAGAGGAUAGUGGAAUUCCCAGUGUAGUGGUGAAAUACGUAGAGAUUGGGGAAGAACACCAGUGGCGAAGGCGGCUAUCUGGACGGUUUCUGACACUAAGACUCGAAAGCGUGGGGAGCAAACAGG